rnacentral:rRNA from 1 species
CGUAACUUCGGGAGAAGGCACGCUGACACGUAGGUGAAGUGAUUUACUCACGGAGCUGAAGUCAGUCGAAGAUACCAGCUGGCUGCAACUGUUUAUUAAAAACACAGCACUGUGCAAACACGAAAGUGGACGUAUACGGUGUGACGCCUGCCCGGUGCCGGAAGGUUAAUUGAUGGGGUCAGCGCAAGCGAAGCUCCUGAUCGAAGCCCCGGUAAACGGCGGCCGUAACUAUAACGGUCCUAAGGUAGCGAAAUUCCUUGUCGGGUAAGUUCCGACCUGCACGAAUGGCGUAAUGAUGGCCAGGCUGUCUCCACCCGAGACUCAGUGAAAUUGAACUCGCUGUGAAGAUGCAGUGUACCCGCGGCAAGACGGAAAGACCCCGUGAACCUUUACUAUAGCUUGACACUGAACAUUGAGCCUUGAUGUGUAGGAUAGGUGGGAGGCUUUGAAGUGUGGACGCCAGUCUGCAUGGAGCCGACCUUGAAAUACCACCCUUUAAUGUUUGAUGUUCUAACGUGGACCCGUUACCCGGGUUGCGGACAGUGUCUGGUGGGUAGUUUGACUGGGGCGGUCUCCUCCUAAAGAGUAACGGAGGAGCACGAAGGUUGGCUAAUCCUGGUCGGACAUCAGGAGGUUAGUGCAAUGGCAUAAGCCAGCUUGACUGCGAGCGUGACGGCGCGAGCAGGUGCGAAAGCAGGUCAUAGUGAUCCGGUGGUUCUGAAUGGAAGGGCCAUCGCUCAACGGAUAAAAGGUACUCCGGGGAUAACAGGCUGAUACCGCCCAAGAGUUCAUAUCGACGGCGGUGUUUGGCACCUCGAUGUCGGCUCAUCACAUCCUGGGGCUGAAGUAGGUCCCAAGGGUAUGGCUGUUCGCCAUUUAAAGUGGUACGCGAGCUGGGUUUAGAACGUCGUGAGACAGUUCGGUCCCUAUCUGCCGUGGGCGCUGGAGAACUGAGGGGGGCUGCUCCUAGUACGAGAGGACCGGAGUGGACGCAUCACUGGUGUUCGGGUUGUCAUGCCAAUGGCACUGCCCGGUAGCUAAAUGCGGAAGAGAUAAGUGCUGAAAGCAUCUAAGCACGAAACUUGCCCCGAGAUGAGUUCUCCCUGAGACUUUAGGUCUCCUGAAGGAACGUUGAAGACGACGACGUUGAUAGGCCGGGUGUGUAAGCGCAGCGAUGCGUUGAGCUAACCGGUACUAAUGAACCGUGAGGCUUAACCUU